CACGAACGCUGGCGGCGUGGAUAAGACAUGCAAGUCGAACGGGAUUUUAUUUGUAGCAAUACACGUAAAGUCUAGUGGCGUAAGGGUGCGUAACACGUGGGCAAUCUGCCGAGAAGUGGGGGAUAGCUCGCCGAAAGGCGAAUUAAUACCGCAUGUGGUUAGUGAAGACAUCUUCGCGAUACCAAAGCCGGGGCAACCUGGCGCUUCUUGAUGAGCCCGCGGCCUAUCAGCUAGUUGGUGAGGUAACGGCUCACCAAGGCUAUGACGGGUAGCUGGUCUGAGAGGACGACCAGCCACACUGGAACUGAGACACGGUCCAGACACUUACGGGUGGCAGCAGUCGAGAAUUUUUCUCAAUGGGGGAAACCCUGAAGGAGCGACGCCGCGUGGAGGAUGAAGGUCUUCGGAUUGUAAACUCCUGUCAUUUGGGAACAAUUGUUGGCGAUUAACUGUCGUCAGCUUGAUAGUACCAGAAGAGGAAGAGACGGCUAACUCUGUGCCAGCCGCCGCCGUAAUAC
rnacentral:rRNA from 1 species